rnacentral:rRNA from 1 species
UUUUUUGGGUGGGGGAGUGGCGGGACCGGGUGAGUAAUUUUUCGGAACGUGCCCAGUAGGGGGGGAUAACUACGCGAAAGCGUAGCUAAUUCCGCAUUUUCUCUUCGGAAGAAAGGGGGGGAUCAUUUGACCUCUCGCUAUUGGAGCGGCCGAUAUCAGAUUAGUUAGUUGGUGGGGUAACGGCCUACCAAGGCAGUGAUCUGUAGCUGGUUUGAGAGGACGACCAGCCACACUGGGACUGAGACACGGCCCAGACUCCUACGGGAGGCAGCAGUGGGGAAUUUUCGACAAUGGGGGAAACCCUGAUCGAGCCAUCCCGCGUGUGGGACGAAGGCCUUCGGGUUGUAAACCACUUUUCUUAGCGAAGAAAAGUCUUAGGCUAAUACCUUAAGACGCUGACGGUAGCUAAGGAAUAAGCAUCGGCUAACUACGUGCCAGCAGCCGCGGUAAUACGUAGGAUGCAAGCGUUAAUCGGAAUUACUGGGCGUAAAGGGUGCGCAGGCGGCUUGGAAAGAACGGUGUGAAAUCCCGGGGCUCAACCCCGGAACUGCACUAUUAACUAUCAAGCUAGAGUAUGUCAGAGGGGGGUGGAAUUCCGCGUGUAGCAGUGAAAUGCGUAGAUAUGCGGAGGAACACCAAUGGCGAAGGCAGCCCCCUGGGAUAAUACUGACGCUCAGGCACGAAAGCGUGGGUAGCAAACAGGAUUAGAUACCCUGGUAGUCCACGCCCUAAACGAUGUCAACUAGCUGUUGGGCCGGUUACGGCUUAGUAGCGCAGCUAACGCG